rnacentral:lncRNA from 1 species
AAAAGGUGUAGCUGAGGCCGUGGCCGAAUGGAUAGACGACGGGACCGUCGUAGAAUUUGUAAGUUCUUCCUGGAUAUCCAAGGCUUUUCACUGGCCGGAGCGGCAUUGAUGUCAUUGGAAGCUGGUACACGUAGUCGUUUUCAUACCAUGUCAAUGGUAAUCUUCCUCCUGAAAUGAGACAACAAAAUCUUAGCUCUAAUUUCAUUUAUCUCCUUGGAUUGAUAAGUUAGGGUAUAUUUGAUCUUUUUGACCUGGGUUGAAUUUUCCGAAUAUGACGUCGGCAAUGGCACGACCGCCCUCCUCGCCUGGAUAUCCAGCCCAGAUAAUGGCUUUGAUGUUGGAGUUGUUCUUAGCAAAAGAUACGUCAAUACCGCCGGCGGACAAAAUGACAAGAACAACUGGGCCCUUAGAGACAGUUGCAACUUGUUGAACGAGUUGAGUUUGGUAUCCAGGAAGAAGAAGAUCAACUCUGUCCAAGCUCUCUGCUUCAAUGGACAAAUCAAUACCAACAAAAAUCACAGUUGCAUCAGAGGUCCUGGCUGCCUCCAUGGCUCCAAAUAUGAAGGUAUCGUUUUUGCAAGCAACACUAUCACACCCCAUUUGGUAUUUCACUUUUGCAUAUUCUGAUAGCCCAUCCAUUGGGGAAUUCAUUCUGCAUGGCACUCCUGCAAUAGAACAAAAACAGAACAUUUAGAUUAUUACGAAAUUCAAAUGUUUUAAGUUAAUGGGUUAGGAUAAAUUUCAUAUUUGAUUGAAGAACAUUGAGUUAGAGAAGGAAAAGGUAGAGUUUUGAGCUUAUAAUUUGACCUGCAUAGUUGCCAAGCAUGGCAGAAGUGGCAUUGGCAUGGGGCCCAACAACAGCUAGGGUUUUAUAAUUAGAAGGAUCAAAAGGCAAAGUGUCAUUAUCGUUCUUGAGUAAAACAGUUCCUUGUCUAGCAGCUUCAGUGGCCAAUUCAAUGUGUUCAUCAGAGCAAAUAUCUGGUUUUCCAAGUGAUUCGAAACCAGUGUUUCCAUCAAAGUACCCAAGUCUCAUUAGAACAACGUAGAGAUUGUUUAGAGCAUUGUCAAUGUUUCUCAUCCCAACUUUCCCUUGCCUUACUGUGGAUUCUGUGUAAUUUGGGUAAAUUUGACCACAAUCCAAAUCCAACCCUGAAAUUUUACAUUGGAAUAGUUUAAAUUUGAUUCAUGGGGUUUGAUAAAAAAGCAGAAAAGGAUCCACCCAGAAGAAGGGACUUAAAAGUGUAAGGUAGAAAAAUUUACCUGCUUUGAGAGUUUGAGCAACGGCAUCUUCAUUUGUGUCUUGUAGAUAAUGUGCAUCUUCUACCAUAACUUUAACUGAGUCACAGUCUGAAACAAUGUAUCUGAAAAGAGAAGAAAAUAGAAAAAUAUUAUAAUUCAUCCACCGGAGUCUAAGGGACAUUUAUGUGGUUUGUUAUCAUCAAUUAAUUAUUAUACCCAUGAAGACCCCAAUUGCCUCUAAUGGUGUCCUUCAAGAGAACUGGAUCAGCACAAGUUGGAAUGCCAUUAACUCUGUUGUAAGAGCACAUUACGCUGCUAACAUCUCCCUCCUUAACACACAUCUCGAAUGGCUUAUUGAAUGUCUCCAACAUAUCUUGUUCAGUCACCUAAUUCACAUUGUUUGAAAACGUUAAUAUGGACAUAAAUUAUGUUUAUUGUUUCUUAUCCAUUUCUAUUGAUUUGUAACAAGUUUUUUCUUACCCUAGCAUCAAAACUGUAACGUUCAACACCGAGCCAAUUGUCAACAUCAUAAGCAGCAUAGUGCUUGCAACACGAAGAUACUUUUAGAGGCCUAGAGUUCAAAUCUGUAACAUUCUCAGAUCCUUCCACAUCUUGGAGACCUCUAACGUAAUUC